rnacentral:rRNA from 1 species
AUAGAAAGUUGUUAAAUUGGAAUUUCUUAAAUUGUUUCUUACCUUUAUUAAUGGAUAAUAGAUAUUUUAAAUAAAAAAUUGUGUUUUUUGGGAGUAAGUAUGGUAGUGAAAAGUUAGUUUGAGGUUGUAGUUUAGUUUGGUACCGUGAGGGAUUGUUAUUUAUUUAGCAAAAAGAAAAAUUUUAUUUUUGUACCUUUUGUAUCAGGGACAAUCAAAAUAAUCAAUUUAUUGGUUGAUUUCUCGAAAUGGAAUGAGUAAAUAUAUUAUUAUCGUUUAUGUGGAAAAAUAAAAUUAUCAAUAAUGUAUUAGUGGUGAAACGCCAGUCGACUUUCUUUUAUCUAGUUUUUUCUGAAACAAAUUUAAUUUGACCUUUUAUUAUUAAAAAAUAAAAGUUAGAUCUUAAGAGGGAUAAGCUUCUUAAGUGGAAUAGGGCUAAAAAUAAAUGAUUCUUUUAUUUAGGCUUAAGAUCAGCCAUAUUUUUAUAUCGUUUUAGAUAAUAGGGGUAUAAAUGAUUAUUUAUAUAUUGCCUACAUUAAAUAGGAAAAAUUUUAUUUUAAUUUAUUUUUUAAUUUUAAAAUGAUUGUAUUAGUAUAUAAUAUUUUGUUAAAAAAAAAAUUAAAUUAUUAAUUUAAUUUUAUAGUUAAGUGAAGCUAUAGUUAAAGAACUCGGCAAAUUUUACUUCUGCCUGUUUAUCAAAAACAUGUCUGUGUGGAGGUAUUGAUACACAGUCUGGCCUGCCCCCUGAAAAAUUUAAAGGGCCGCGGUAUUUAAACCGUGCUAAGGUAGCAUAAUAAAUAGUCUUUUAAUUGAGGUCUAGUAUGAAUGGUCGGACAGGAAGUAAGCUGUUUUAAUUGUAAAAUUUGAAUUUUACUUUUAAGUGAAAAGGCUUAAAUUAGAUAGGGGGACGAUAAGACCCUAUAAAGCUUUACAUUUUAUUUGUUAGUUGUAGGAUUUAAGGUUUUUUAUUCUUGUCAAAUAAAAAUGUUUCGUUGGGGCGACGAGAAUAUAAAAUGGUAACUGUUUUUAUAAGAAAAUAAAUUUUUUUAGGAGUAUUGAUCCUUUGUAGAGAUUAGAAGAAUAAAGUUACUUUAGGGAUAACAGCGUAAUUUUUCUUGAGAGUUCAUAUCGACAGAAAUAGUUGCGACCUCGAUGUUGAAUUAAGAUUUCUCCUAGGUGUAGCAGUUUUGGAGGUGGGUCUGUUCGACCUUUAAAAUCUUACAUGAUUUGAGUUCAGACCGGCGUGAGCCAGGUUAGUUUCUAUCUUUUAUUUAUAUAGUGGUUAUUUUAGUACGAAAGGAGAGAGUAGCUAAAAAAUUUUUUUUAAAAAGGUGGACGGUA